rnacentral:rRNA from 1 species
GACAGAGGGUGCGAACGUUGUUCGGAAUUACUGGGCGUAAAGCGCGUGUAGGCGGCAACGCAAGUCGGGCGUGAAAUCCCACGGCUCAACCGUGGAAGUGCACUCGAAACUGCGUAGCUAGAGUCCUGGAGAGGAAGGUGGAAUGCUUGGUGUAGCGGUGAAAUGCGCAGAUAUCAGGAAGAACACCUAUGGCGAAGGCAGCUCUCUGGGACGGUACUGACGCUGAGACGCGAAAGCGUGGGGAGCGAACAGG